CCAGAUUGAAAACCCAGGUCCUCCCUCGUUUACUUAAAACAACUGACACAACCUCACCGUGAGACUCAUUUUUGGGUGUCUACAGCAUCGUGAGAUUCUCGGUGUAUCCCUGCUACCCUGCUUCAAAACAUGAACGGAGAUGCAAUCUGGUGGUUGUGUAAUUCCCUGCCUUUUGUGCAUUCUCUAGUUGAUUUUUUUUUUUCACAAAAACUUGAGUUACUUUUUAAAGACGAUCUCGUUGGCCUGCUGUUUGUUGUAACCUCCCAACAGCUCCCCAUGUUCUAAGAGACAUUUUCCUGCCCGGGCUGUAAUCUACCUGGCCUGUGUGUGGCCAGUCAAUGCUAGGUCUACCCCUAUUUCUGCUCCAGCCAAGUUUCUCAGCUUAUGGUGCACCAGGCUCUCUGUGACAACCUUUAUCAUGUGUUUGAACCUGUACUCCCUUCCCCCAGAUUGUCUUCAUAACAGCAUUCUUUACAUCUUUCAGUUCUAAAGCAGCACAGGUCAGGACAGGUCGUUCUGUGGUGCAUUUGGCUACCAUGCUUAGGCCUACGUUAACCUGACUGCCAUCACCUUACUUGAUGUGUGGGCUUGCCUUUCUUUCAUCUCCAUGAAGAUGAGGUAGGCAAAGAUGUGGGAUCACCUCGAAAGACGGCUGAGCCAGUGCAGGCACCUAGCACCAACUCUGAACACUUGAGUUUGCUCCCCGAGACCCACAUGAUAGAAAGAGAAGACUGACUCAAAGUUUUCUUCUGACCCUGACACCAGUAUCAUGUCAUGCACAUUCCCCCACAGACAAAAUAGACAUGUAAUGAGAAUAGUUCUCAAGAGGAAAAAAGGGGACAUUAGGCAUGUCCUCACACUUUUCGAGUGAUUUCGAGCAUUUCCUUAACUACUUUGUCAGUCACGGUACACUUAGACGGUUAGUCGUGAAUGCAUGUCUAUACUUAGUAAUGCGUUUAAGGUGUCCCUUCAAAAUCUUUGCCAUCUAUUAUGUAAAUUAAUAUUGAGUCCAAUUUUUCCAUGCUUUCAAAAAUACCUUCUCUUUAAAAUGUGAUAUUAAAUCACAAAAAUAUCGUUCUCUGAAAGCACAAAUAGAAUCCAGGAUAUUACGUAAGAAUCACUUUUUUUCCCCGUCCAGGAAAUCCAGAACCUUCUACUUACUCCUAAAGUCUGGUUAACGAGGCCGGACUCCAUGCCUAAUUCUCUGUUAGAGCACUUGUUAUUUUUAUUUUUCCAUCGGAAUUCUUACCGCCAGCAUCAAAAUUAACUCUGGAAGAUUUAUGUGGAAAAGGAGUCUGCUGAAAGGAUAUUAGCUGUUCAUAGAAUAGUUAGGAACCCCGGAGGAGGGAAGAACAGAAAGAAAGGGCAGGCGAGAUAAAGCAGAGUAUUCAGCUUUCAAUCUUAAAUGGUGAGGACAAGGCUUCCCGCCAACAAACAAAUACCAGAGGAAUGUUCUGUGCCCGCCUCAUUGUUGUCACUGGCUCCUGGGUGUUGUCUCUCCACCCACUUCAGCUGUGAUUGGAUUCUGGGGUUAAACUGCUCCCAGAAUGUGUUCUGUCCAGCCUCCUUGUUUUCUCAGUAGGUUCCAGAUGAAUAUAAAGGCUCGAUAGUUUUGGAGGCUAAACGUUAUAGAUCACCACCCGAUCCCUGUGGGAGAAGAGGACCGGAAUUGUUUGCAAGACUGUGGAACGAAUAACACUCAUCUGGUUCUUAUUCUGAGAGGAAGUGAUAGAAAGAGAUCUAAAUUCUCCUUAUAUUCCACAGGAUACCAUCCUUCAUGGUAUCAUGUUCAUCAGAUCAGAGGAACAAUAAGUUGUCAUUAUGGGAGUAAAACACAUGCAAUAUCGAAGAAAGGAAAUAAAGUCUUCUAUUUUGGACUGUCACAGCAGUAUAAUCUAUGGGAUUCCUGUGAGAUGGGAGGAUCAUACCACAUCUCCCACCAUUCACAGGAAACACAGGACUGGGGGAGCCUCUUUAAGUUUUCUAUGCAACAUGUUCCACAUCCAGGAACACUGCUCUGACCAGUCACUGUGAAGGGUGACAGCAUCACAUAGAACAGAAAAUAGGAAAGGUUUCUUGCUGGUACUUAGUAUAAUGUUGCCAGCUCCGAGGUUGGGACCAGCACAUGUUAUAUUCAGUGAGGAUGGGUGAAGAUCUUGUGAUCAAGUAUUGCAAAUGCUAAUGAGAGGACCAUGACCAAGUACCUGAGAUCAAGGUGGUACCAGUUGUAGCAACAAGGUGAUGCUCAGUCUUGGUCGCCAACUCCUGGGAACUGGAAUCACCAUGGAGACAAACCUCUUGGCGUGUGUAUGAGGAGUUUCUAGAUUUGGUUAACUUUGAUAGACAAACCCAGUAGGUAGGGGAGGCACUAUUCAAUAUUAUUCCAUUUUCCUUGCUUCCUCGCUUCAGGUACAAUGUGAUCAGCCCUCUUAUACUCCUGCCACCAGGCUUCCCUGCCAUGGUGGAUUAUGUUAUGUUUUUAAGCUAAAGGAAGUCCUUCUUCCCACAAUUUGCUUUUGCAAAGUAUCUUUGCUACAGCAAUGGGGAAGGUAAGAUAUGGAUAUGUAUCUUUUGAAAAACACCUCUUGACAAGUUACCAGAGCAUCGUGGAGACUAAAUGGGAGAAUGUGCCUGUGAAACCACGUCUUAUGACAGAGUCAAAGGAGAAAACAGAGCUGGCUCAGCACGUAAAGGGACUCCCGAUCAAGCCCAACAACCUGAGUCCAAUCCCUGGGUCUCACAAGCUAGACGGAGAGAAGCAUCUCACCAUGUUAUCCCUGACUGCAACAUCUGUGAUGACAUGGCAUACCACAUAUGUGCACACUUACACACCAGAAACACUUUCAUUAUGAAGAAAAUGCAGAACUGAUGGCCUUCUAUUGUCAGAUGCUCCUACAAGCCAAACCAGGAGGCUCCAGCAUGAACUGUAAGGCACAUGGAUGCUCCAUCAGGAGACUUGUGCUCUGUGCAUUCGCCACUCUUUCCAGGCCCUCUUUCCCAGCUCAUUCAUCACAGUACAUCUUGAAUGGCCAAUUGGUGGAGGAGAAUAAGCAUUUGACUGUAACUCGUGGAUGGGCUGGCUUACAAAGUGCUCUUAAACUAGCCAAGAAAUGCAUGGAAGUUACAUUCCAGCCUUACCCAGGAGUAGCUUUGAAAACAAUGGCAAGGAAAACCCCUAGCACACAGCUUUGGGGGUGCACUCGGAUGCUGCUGGUGUUGAAGAAGUGAGUCCUCAUGUAUGAACUUGGGUUGAGGUAGUUGAAUAAUGUGCCUGACUAGGCAGAGACCAAAAGGAUACUAGAAGACCAGGGCAAGGAUGUCUUUAAACUAGUGUGUGGAUGGGCAUGGCUGAGUGGCCAUGAAGAGUAAAUACAUUUACAUCAUAUGUCAAACUACUACCAGAGUGCACACUCCAUAGUAGAUGAAUCACUCCCUCGGUCUGUGGCGUCCAAUAGAGCAUCCACUAGCCACGUGUGAUGACUCCAGGCCGAUAUAUCAAAGUAUCAAAUACGCACUUGAUUCCAAAUAGUUACAUGGGCGUGAAACGUUCCUAGUAGUUGCAUAUUGAUCACGCAUUUAAAAUACAUAUUAGUUUAGAUAAAAUGUUAUCAACAUUGAUUUCCUUUUAAAAUGUGUCUCUGAGAAAGUUUACAAUAGCAUGCAGCUCAUCCUAGUGGCUCACAUUGCAUCUCUUUUGGAUAGCACUGAUAUGGACUGAUUCUCCUGGCUAGCUGACAGCAGCUGGCCUUGAUCCUAGGCUUCUCCAGUGCUGUCAUGGCAGGCUUCAGGAUUGGGUGUCAGGGAGAUAGGGAGACAAUGCCUGGCCUGUGAGUAUGACCUACUCUCACCAGGGAGGAUAAACUCCAGCGGCUGCCAAUUGUACAGAUUUCGGGGACAGAGGUCCAUCCUGAGCUCUUGGGAUGCUACUGUUUUCCUGAAGUCUAAUGAGAGACUCAGUGGCCAAUGGAUCACCGGGGCCCUUUCUAGCCCAGAAGGAUCAAAACUAUUUGGGAUUUGUUUUUAAAUAAUGGGGAAAAAAGGCUAAGUAUGAAUUUGCUUUUCUUACCUGUGGGAACUCAAAACCUUGCUCUGUAUUUGAUCUUCUGAUCGGGAAGCCCACAGAGCCUCAGAUCAGGACAGAAUGAGCUUAUUGAACUUAGACGGGCCUACUGACAGUGCAGUUGAGAAGCAAAUUUGGCAGCAACUCUCUGCAAGAAUGAAGUAGUAUUUAUGCUCCAGGUGUACUAUGUGCACCUUUGUAUGGUGAUGUAGCCAGCCUUCUGUACCUGCUCAGUUACAUCCAUGCAGCCAACCAAGGAUGGACGGGAAAUAUUUGAAAAAAAAAUGAUUAUCUGUCACCAAAAUCUAGAGUUUUGGUUAUUGUUUCUUAAGCAAUAUCAUGCUACCAUAUGCACAAUAUUUAUAUUGUAUUGGGUAUUAAAAGUAAUCUGGGGAUGCUGUAUGACCCAUGGGAACAUGCACACGGGUUACAUGCAAUAUUACUCCUUUAUUACGUGUAAGAAACUUGAGCAUCAUAAUGCUUUUAAAUCUAUGGGGAUCCUGGAAGAGCUCUCCUACAGACACUGAGGGGCAGUCAUGCGUCUCAUGAAGAACUCUGUGCAGAACCCCAAAUGGAAGCCAGACUGCUUUCCUUAACAGAACUCACUGGGAAGCAAAUGUGUUCUUCUAUGACAACUUAGCAAGCUCUGUAAGACUAAUGGGCCCAUUUCUUUAAGGGUACACUUUUUACCAGGCACCAAGUGGCUUAUACAAGGCUGUGUAGAUCUAAACAUUUUAGAUAAUGUGGACAGUUACUAUUUUGGUCGGGGUACUUGACCUGCUGUUAUACACGGGAACAGGAAAGCAGUUCACACAGAUGAUGCUUGGGCCUGGACUAUGUCACCUGUAAGCCAUCAUUAGGGCUUUGAGAAGUGGAUGCUUAAGACGGGAGUGGGAAUUAACAAUGAAAGAGAGAUGUGGAUGAAUAUCAGUUAUGGAGUAGGAACAACCAGAGUAGCAAGGGCUGUGGUUUAUGUGAACCCUGAUCUUCUAAGUGUCCCUCAGGAAAAGAGACUUGUAGAAUCCUGGGGGUGUUGUUCCUCCAGAUGUAAGAUCUGGGGAAGAGAUGGCAAGACACAAGGCUGGGGUACAGUUUAAGAGUCCCCUACAAGGACAGCUCUGUCCCAGCCUCAGAGGCUGCUGUUCACAGACGCUUUACCUCUCUGCUUGCUGCAGGUUUGCCUUCCACAGCGGAGUGCCAGAGUGCCUUUCUUUCAGUAGUGUGACAUUCAGUGGCCAGUUGUGAGAUGGCUAAAAAGGCCUAGCCAUGGGGUUGGGGAUUUAGCUCAGUGGUAGAGCGCUUGCUUAGCAAGCGCAAGGCCCUGGGUUCGGUCCCCAGCUCUGAAAAAAAAAAAAAGAAAGAAAGAAAGAAAAAAGGCCUAGCCAUUUCAGGAUACCAAGGGAGAACUCCAAAGAGAAAUAUUUCCCCUAAUGCACCCACCUCCCAACACACACACACACACACACACACACACACACACACACACACACACACCAUGUUUACCUGGCUGGAAUUUGUUGGGCUCACAUUGAAAGCCGUCAUCUCCCUUUUUACUGGGGGUACUUCCUCCUUUUUGAUAUCUAACAAAAAUCCUGCAGUAAACCUCAGUUUCAAAUACUUGCCCCCUCAGCCCUGGCUCCCCAUCCAGGUACUGCUCGUACUAUGUGGUGUGCAUUUGAUCAGAGGAAAGCCUUCCAUGUCUGCUCUCACCUGCACCUUGUUUGAGACACGUGGGGUCUUUUCUCUUUUUCCACAUUCAGGUCUCCAAGCUUGGAGGGCAAGUGUUUAGCCAGUGAGCCAACAUCUGCAAUGAUCUGUUCCUAACAGAGUCCUGCACCUCAUACAGAAGAGACAAACACAGAAUUUAAAAACAAAACAAACCAAACAAAAAACCCUGUUCUUCCCAAAGUUUGAUUGGUCUUUUGUUUGUUUGUUUGUUUAAUAAAUAGAUGGUCGUUUGAAUUUUGCUGUCUGUGGGAGUGUGAAAGUGACGUGCUGGACACAAGGGGUGAUUGAUCAGAUACAGGGGAAUUCUGGGUAACGUGAGAUACUGAAGCACUCUAUUUUGUGGGUCAGGGUGUGCAAAAGAGGCAAACAGACAGUCUGGUGGACAAACCAGUUGGGAAGAAUUAGUCAUAUCUAGACUUCAGGUCAUCUAGAUCAAAUUAAUUUUAUUGUCAGGAAGAAUGGAAGAUAUUUAAAUAGCAUGAUCAAACCGGAGUUAUAGUAUCAUCAAACAAGUGCAUAUCAGUUAACUCUCAAAACUAUAGAGCUGGUGUUCAGAUUAAGAAACCUGAUUGAAGGCAAUGUCCUGGAGUUUGAGAAUGAAGCCUUUCUUUGCUCUGUUUCUCUAAAAUUGCUUUAUCUUGAGCUAACAGCUUCCACCAGAUAGGUAUCUAUAAAAACCUUGGUGUGUGCAUAUUUUCAACAUCAUAUCACAACCAUUUCAUUUUGGCUUUAAGCAAAGCAAAAAUAAAAAUUUUAAAAAUUACACAAUGAAAUGAAAAGACAGUGCAUUUUGUUCAUUUUUUUUUCCUAAAAACACCCUCGGAAACUUCAUCUACAUUGAGUUCCCUUCGGUCUUCCUGUUUGUUUACACAUCAUUACUUGAUGAAUGGGUUGAGAAACCGUGAAAUAAAAGUGAGGUAACCGUCUACACUUCGGGAUCAAUCAUAAUAAGCUAACAUGUCUUUUAAACGAUAAUGCAAUGAGCCUUUUGGUAGAAAUUGCCUGCUCAUAGAGCUCUUUAAGAAUGCUAUCUGCGACACUGGAAGGAGGUGGGAGCACACGCGUGUGAGAACGUGCAUGUGCUCGUGCAUGUGCUCGUGCGUGGGACAGAAGACAGCCUUCAUUUUGGUUCUUCGGGAACCACUCCCUUGUUUACAUUUACUCACUAAAUGAAAUGACCUCUCGAUAGUCCAGAACCAUUACCUCAGCUUGGCUGACAGUGGCCUCCAGAGCUCUGCUUCUCUCUGCUUUUGCAGAGCCGAAACUACCAGUGUGUGGACCACUCCUGCCUCCUUUAUGUGGAUUCUGGGGACAGAACUCAGGACCCUUUGCUCGUAGGACCUGUAUUUUACCAACAAAGCAAUCUGCCUAGUGCCUUAAGAAGGUAUUCUAGAAGGCCUAAGAGUGUGAAGGAGGGCAGAAGGCACCAAAGCUCAGGACAUAAGAACAUCAGUUUUACACAGAUAACAAUAAAAACACAACAAUGGCUACAACUUAGAAACCAGUUUUACUCUGUUGCAAACAAAUGGACAAGCUAUUGUACAAUAUAUAAUAAAAAGUACAGCACAAUACAAGUGCCACUAAUAAGAGGAACUUAAAGAUCAGACUUAAAAAUGCUUAUUUGUAAUAUAUAUAUAUGUAUAUGUAUAUAUAUACAUACAUACACACACUGCAACAGAAAGCCACAAUAAAUACAGGAAUCUCCAUGUCAUUUGUAAUAAAUACUGAAAAUAUAAAUACAGAAGACUACAGCUAAUAUGAAUAAAUAAUUACAACGUAAGGUCCAGGUUAAAUUCUGUUGACUACCAUUGUAGCUUAUUUCAUAGCCCCUUUGGCAUCUUUGAUGUCAUAACUUGUACACAAGAGAAAUCCGUCUAGCAACUGUGACAGACAACAUGACCUCACGGUAUAAAAUGAGUGUAUGGAUUGUGGUUUGAUUUUCUUCCCUUCCAGUUUUACAAGUCAUCAGAGUGCAUGUAACGGUAACGAAGUAUCGAUUGAAAACCUAUUGGGUAAAGGUAAUGCUACAAAUCAGUUGAAAGAUACAAACAAUCAAUGUUAAAAUGUACUUUACCAUACUGUGGAUUUUCUGAGUUUUUAGGGAUGCAUUUUUCCCCCCUGCCAGCUUCCAACAGGCCAAAAAGCAAACACUUAAAACAAUUACCCUCAGAAGAUUGCCCUUGUUGAAGGAACAUUCCUAAUGCACAAAGACAGAAGGACGCAUGAGUCCUGGGGGACGGGGGUGUCACGUGAUUUGCCAGCUCACUACAUCUUACAAGGGUUUUCAAAUGUACCAAGUUCCCAUGGCAGCUUGCAAGUGGAGACAUGGUUGAUGUCUAAGACUGUGAUUUAAGACAAAGACACUGAAAACGGUGACUCUUACCUAUGAAACCAACUGGAUACAUGGAUUUUAAAUGUGAAAAAUAUUUUGUUGACCAAUGCCAAAUGACCUUUCCUAUCAAAUUUAUAUACCCUGUGACAGACACUGAGGGAAACACACCGAAAGGACAAAGUGCCUUUUCUGCACUAAGAGGCAAUAACCAGUACAUAUGUAUCCAUAGCUUUAUCUUAAGAGGCGAUUACACCAAAAUGAGAUAAACUAAGGAGAAGGCAGAGGAACAUUACUAAGACGCAACAAAGGCUGAUUUCUUAGGAACCGAGUUGUAAUCUACAGGCUCAGGUUUUCCUUUUACUAUUUCUGUACUGUAUUGUCUAGCACUUAUACAUCAUCAAACACUUUUGAAACAUGUUUCACAAACUAUGCCUCAGACUUCUUUCUGUUGAGGUGCCUAGAGUCAAUUAAAACAUAAGCCAAAUUCAAGUCACCAUUCAUCACAUUAGCAUUCUAUAGCAACUUUUUCUUUUCUUUUUUUUAAACUAAAAGUGUCACUGGGUCACUUCCGUGUAAUGUUACUCAUGAGGACAAAGUACGUUCAUGUGGCUGUCAUUUCACUCAAGCACCCUGGUGGGCAAAGGCAGCCAUAUUGAGAUUGGGCAAGAUCCACGAGAGAAGAAACACUGACUUCCAGGGUGGUCCUCAGCUCCUGUUAGUGCUGCCUCUAUGUUUUGGCAAACAGAAAACUCUCUGAAAGCUGCAGGGAGUGUCUGGGCCAAGUGAUUUCAUCAAGGGAAAAGAAAGGGGGAAAAAAGAAAACAAAUAUCACCCCUUUCUAGACCUCCUUUAGUUUUCCGGCCUUGUCAAGAUGACAAAUUUUUAAAUCACUUAAAAAAAAAAAUCACUGAUUCAUGAGAACGUAAGCAGCCAUUGUUUCCACAAUACCCUCAUACACAGGAUCAAAUGGUGGCUGAGUGAAUCUUUGGAGUCAUUUUACUCCAUAGCAGAUUCUUCUGACAGUCUCAUCUUUUCCAGGAGAAGUCUAGAUUUUCAUUUGUUGCUUACACUAACAGAAGGUCACCAAGAAGGUACUUGUUCACAAGUAAGCACAUAGAAAAAGGGUCUUUUCCUUUUAAAAUUGUAACUUCUCAGAGAAUUGAAGGGUUUGAAAGUCAAGUCGCUUGACUCUAGUCAUGACAUUGGUGACUGGGAUAUAAAUUAAUUACUCCCCCUAACAUAACAGUAAUGUAUAAAAGGUAAAUGAAUAAAAAUUGCCUAAUAGUUUAUUUUCCCAAAGCAGGUUACAUUGCUAAGUAUCCGAGUACCUACAUUUUCUUUUCAAAUCUGCGUUCUUAAGACACUUAGAGAAUUUGCCUUAGGUAACAAUCGUCAAAUGAAGGGGGACUCAACCUCUACUGUCUUCCAGCACAAUUGCCCAAAUUACCACGACUGUUGCCAGGUGCCUCGUCCACAAAGACUGGCCAAAAUAUGUUCAUAUUGAGAGCAAACCUGAAAGAGCUGGAUUCUGUUGCCAAGGAAACCAUCUUCCCUAGAGGUGUCAGGAAUAAGUGGGUAUCUGUGUUGUUGGAUAUGCCUGAGUGGCGGUCCUCCCCAGAGGUCAAUGAAUGAACCAUGUGACUUCUGGAGCUCUCUCUUAGGCUCAGGCCUAUACAAUCUGAAGAAUAAAGAAGACUCUGAAGCCUUCCAUUAUUCAUGUUUAGUUGGCCUCUGUGAAUAUCUUCAAGAAGAUUAAGCUGUUCCAAGUUACCUGUUGGACAUGACGUAGUCUGGCAGUGGACUGUGAUUAAUUGCAAUUUUAAAAAAUGACACUGGUUGUUAUAAAAAUUUAAAAAGCUAUCAAAUCCAGAUAUCAUUUGGGUCCAAUUGUAUCACUCAAGUAUACAUACUUGAUUUUUAAACAGGCAACAAUUUAUUCCCUAACUUUAGCUAUUUUUCCCCCUCUUUAGGAGAAUUUAGAUGUAAAAUAGCACUUUCUUUUCUUCAUAUUUAAAUAAACUUUUAUAAUUCACAUAGUUCUUUGAAUUAGCUUUUAAUAUUGAUGGCAUUUCUAAGAGAAGGGAGAAAGAUUAAUGACCAACAGGAAAAGAGGGCAAAGAAAUAUUGGAUUAAGUGUGCUACAAAUUGCCUUUUGAUAUUUCUAUAACACAGAAUUAACAAUCAAACUAUCCCAGUUCACAUGACCCAGACAAGAGAGUGAACAGUCUUACUUUGUGUGCAGUAGGACAUAGUCCAGACAGCAUGUUCUAGAUAAAUUUUAAAGAGACUUUCUCAAGUUCAGUUUUCGUCCAAGUACUCAUUAAUAAAUAACUUUUAGGUUUAUUCCAAGACAGAUAAAAAGGUUGGAAAGAGUUAAAAAGAAGAAAUAAGACAUUUAACUAUAGACAUAUUUUAAAGUUACAACUGAGAAUCAGGAAAGCAAUGUGAAUCAGUUUUGACAAAAGCAAGGCUGAUUUGACUCCGUUUAUCUCCUCCUAGCUCUUUCUAAUCAAUAUAAUAAUAUAAUAUAAUAAUAAUAGUAAUCUUUAAAGAUACUUAGAUGGCCUUGCACAUGUGACAAAGUUUAUAAUUUGAACUGACUGGACUAUCAGUAUGCUAAUGAGAUAGACAGAGGAAUGGAAUUGCAGCAAAUCUGCCAAGUACAAAUGCUGUCUAGAAUAACAUGGAUCAUUCCCCCCUUUACAAGGUCGGUUGCUUGUGUGAAAGAUGAAAUAAAAUACCAAUAGAAUUGUCUUUUCUUGAAAUGUAAGCAAACACGAAGGGUCAGAUACAGAGCAAUGGUCCCAUAUAGUGAAAAGCUAAUCGAAAGGAAAGAAAACAGUAACCCACAGGACAUUAAUCUUUGGAGUGAUUUCUUUUCCCAUACAUAAGAAAUAUCUGCAGGCACUAAACUUUCAGCUUCUAUAUUAAAGGCAUCAAAAAAAAAAAAAAAACCCUACCCAUAAUCAAUGAACUGAAAAGGCAUAUGGUUUAGACUCUGGAGUUCAUUCCUACUCUCCCAAAUCCCCUUCUUCUGAUUUAGCACUCAGAAUGGAAAUCCCAAGGCUGCCAAGAUGUCAUACAGUUAGAUUAACGCUGCUACCGUGUACUAGAGAAAACCCAGGUAAUACUCAGCUUCUAGGAUUUCGUUUCUGACAGGCGACAAAAGAGGAAGAUGCUGUGCUGUUUAGAAACAAUGUCUCUUGUUCUGCAUUAAGGAUUCAUGGGAGGAGCUACUAACACGUGACUGUUUUAGAAUCACAUUUGUUAAAGAAAGAAACAUUUUUCCAAAUUCCUUGCUUUUUGUCAAUGUUAGUUGCUUAGUCAUUAAGCAUUAAGUGGUGUGUGUGUGUGUGUGUGUGUGUGUGUGUGUGUGUGUGUGUGUGUGUACGCGAGCAUGCGUGCGCAUGUGCAUGCUUGUUGAAGACUUUCUUCAGAUUGCUGGAGGUCUGUGUUCUACUAUACCUGCUUUGUAUGUUGGCCAGCAGAUAGAAAUGUCAGCUGGGCUCCAUGGCAGCCAUACCGGAACUGACCUUUCUUUUGGGGUGCCUGUCAUUUAUGAAGUCCAGUGCACUAACCCCCAGCCCACCUCUGUUAAGAUAUAGUAAUAGCUCAUAGACAUUAUCACUUCCAAACUUUUAUUCCAUCUGAACCCUUAUCCUGUUCCUUUCACCAUUUUAGUGAGUUUUCCAACUGCGGUUCUUCAGUCAAUUAAGUUCUAUCAUGAUACAGAAAGUAUCUGAUGAACUGAACUGUGGGUGCAAAGCUGUGACGUUGAAGUGACUCCAGCAUGAGCUCUUAAUUCUUGGGAAGUGAUGUAACAAGAAACUUCAUUUCCUAUUAGUAGCAAAAGUACAAGAGCCUUGCACUCGAGGUGCUGGUCGUGGUAAGGACACAAUAGUUACAAUCUCAAAGUACAGUCAUUUUGACCUUGCAAGCAUAAAGGUGCCUUCCAUUUACACUUGGCAUUUCCUAUGUCAAUGACAAUGACUGUUAACUGUCAGCAGACUGUAACUUCAGCUAAAGAAAGGGGUCACUAAUAACCUCUCUCCUUUCCUAUCUUCUUUCAGUCAAUGCCUCUGUGCAGAGUUUUGCCACCUUAAUAGCUGUUUAUAAAGAGAAGAAGAAGGUCAUGUCCCUCCCUUACUGUUUCUAAAGCUCUUUUGGGUUCUGAAUUAAUCAACCCUCCUCCCCGAAACUGGUAGGAGUUUUACUGGCAUGAAUUUGACAUUUUCUUAGAUAGCACUGCAUCCAAGGAACAGUUCUCUGAAUCUCUUUUCCCUGAAUCCAGACUUAUUUCCUAAGCUCCAGGAAGAUGUAGUAAGUUCCAUCAAUUUAGGGAAAAUCAGCACUGUACAGACGCAGGUUGUACAGAAUAGAGAAGAAUUGGUGACAGCGUUUCCAUCAGGACGGGGAGGAUUCUAAUGGAGAAGGAGCUGAAGAGGCUUGACCAUCUCACAUCAUCCACCCUUGUCCUCACUCUUCGAAAUAUGGGAGUUGCCUGCUCUUUUUGCUACCAGGACAGUUGUUAUAAUAUAGGAGGUGUUCAAUAAAUAUUUGUUAAAAGAAAAAAGUGGAUAUCUAACACAUUCUGAAGAUCAAUGCUAAGUUAUUAAGAGCUUGUACAAGGCAGCAAUAAAAAAAAAGUGAGGUAUCUAUUGUGAAAUAAAUUAUGGUAUAUCUUGUUUAAUAAUAAAAUCUAACUCAAAAUUUUGGCUACAAUAUAACCUUAGCAUUUCUUGAGAAUUGUGACAAGUUGCUAUACGGGCUGUUUUGUAGGAAUGAGCAGAAGGAGGUGGUACUGCUGGGUCAUGUGAUUAUAAGGAUUUCCUCCCUUGAAGAAAUGUUAGAUAGUUUAUAUGUGGUUGGCAUGGCAUGGUGAGAAAAAUGUAAUUCUAUCACAAGACUGACUUUCAAAAAGUCUGCUCUUCAAUUUACCAAAAGAAAAGAGACAAUUAGAUUUUACAUACAUUUUAAUAUUGGAUAAUCAACAGAUGGGGAGGGACUUAAAAUAUUCUUUAUCUAUUUCUUUCUACCGAUGAAAAUUUAAAAAAAAAAAUUAAAGGGGAUUGAGGCUGCUCAGGCUACUUGACUUGUAAAUAAGUCUGGCCAGAAUAGCUGGGAAUCAAAUUGUUAAAGAGUGUGGAGCAUUGAGCUUUGCAGUUGAUAGUGCUUGACUUGGGAACUGUGUGCAGAGAGAGGCUCUGAUUUGGUUAGAUAUACUACAGAAGCAACACGACAGCUUCAAGUCAAAUCGUUGUUCCUUGGUACAAAGAUUUAAAGCGUCUCAACCUGGUUCCAGCAAAUUGCUCCUCUCCCUUUGAAAAGCAGUAAUCAUUGUGGCACUGCCUGGCACGUGGACAGUUCUAUUGAGGAGGUCUAUUAGCAGGAAGAACAAUCCAGAAGAAUCAUUGCAUUCUCAAUUUAGUUCCUUCUGGGAAAGGUAGUCACAAUGAAAUAAUUCCUCACUAAUAUUACUUGUGACUUUAACUCAAUAUUUUCAACCAUUUGCUCUCAAAAUUCACCUCUCUUUAUAUUUUUAGAUAAACCAGAACCUGAUUGUACUGUAGGGACUAACUAUCCAGUACUCAUUCCUAGCUGCUGCCUACCAUCUGCCCCAUGGUGUGUGUGUGUGUGUGUGUGUGUGUGUGUGUGUGUGUGUGUGUGUGUGUGUGUGUGUGUGUAUUCUGUGUUUGUGUGUGCCUAAUAAAGAUAAGGUAUGCAGGGCUUGAUUUGUUAUUGUUGUUAAAAUGGGCAGCCUGCACCUGUCAUGAUUUUUGAGGGAUGUCUACUUAGGGGUGUGGAAACUUAAGAGUGGCAGCUUUCAUGCUUAGAAAGGCAAUUAUCCUCAGAGUGAAACUUUCUAUCUCCAUUGAAUAGAGAGAGGGAGAAAGCUCUGUUUCUGAAGUAUCCUUUGGUGGAAAACUAAAGCUGCAAAAGAGAGACCCAAGAAGAUACAAAAAUGCUUCAGACCUUGUGUCUAUAAAGCUGGAGUGAAAGGAACAUCUCUGAGGAUCCAGGGAGUGGACUGUCAUUACCAAACCACCCGAACCUAGUCAGGACUACCCUGGGCCUCCACACAGUCCAUUCUAAGAAUAGCCAGUGAGUGAGUGCCUCGCCAGUAGAUAUUUCCAGAGGUUGGAAUGGCCCAGCAAAUACAGAACACAGAAUUCUUUUAUCUGCUCGAAUGGAGGAACAACAGCCUCUUGUCAUUUCUUCUUUGAGCCCCUGCGUAGGCGGGAGGCAGUGCAACUGGAAAUCGAACACUAACAAAGGCAACACUGCAGAGGGCUCUGGACAUAUUACUGCAAUCUGAGUAAACACCCAUCAGAUUAGCCCCGAUGAUCAACCAAAAGGAAUAGUUGGCCCCCACUGCUGCUUUCGAUAGCAUGACACCACCCAAAGUGCUUUUAAUGUUAGUAAAAACUAGUGUUGAUUUAAUCAUGAGGUGGCGUAGAGAAGGGCAGGAACAACCCCACAAGCGAGCAUACUUUCCCCACCUGGAGUUUAAAUAGAGGCUUCUCACCAGAGGACUCUGAAGCACAUUCAA